rnacentral:rRNA from 1 species
GUCUCAGGCCGUAUCAGCCUGAAGGCGCCCGAUCUCGUCUGAUCUCGGAAGCUGAGCAGGGUCGGGCCUGGUUAGGAUCUUGGAUGGGAGACCACCUGGGAAUCCCGGGUGCUCGAGGCU